GCUGGGCAUGGUGGCGUGCCUGUAUUCCCAGCUACUCAGGAGGCUGAGGUGGGAGGAUUACUUGAGCCCAGGAGGUCCAGGCUGCAGUGACCCAUGUUUGCACCACUGCACUCCAGCCUGGGCAACAGAGUGAGACCCUGUCUCAA
rnacentral:SRP_RNA from 1 species